UACUGAGUUUACGCUCUAUAACCCUUUGUGAACAUACCUAUAACUGUUGCUUCGGCGGGUAGGGUCUCCGUGACCCUCCCGGCCUCCCGCCCCCGGGCGGGUCGGCGCCCGCCGGAGGAUAACCAAACUCUGAUUUAACGACGUUUCUUCUGAGUGGUACAAGCAAAUAAUCAAAACUUUUAACAACGGAUCUCUUGGUUCUGGCAUCGAUGAAGAACGCAGCGAAAUGCGAUAAGUAAUGUGAAUUGCAGAAUUCAGUGAAUCAUCGAAUCUUUGAACGCACAUUGCGCCCGCCAGCAUUCUGGCGGGCAUGCCUGUUCGAGCGUCAUUUCAACCCUCAAGCUCUGCUUGGUGUUGGGGCCCUACAGCUGAUGUAGGCCCUCAAAGGUAGUGGCGGACCCUCCCGGAGCCUCCUUUGCGUAGUAACUUUACGUCUCGCACUGGGAUCCGGAGGGACUCUUGCCGUAAAACCCCCAAUUUUCCAAAGGUUGACCUCGGAUCAGGUAGGAAUACCCGCUGAACUUAAGCAUAUCAAUAAGCGGAGGAAAAGAAACCAACAGGGAUUGCCUCAGUAACGGCGAGUGAAGCGGCAACAGCUCAAAUUUGAAAUCUGGCCCUAGGC
rnacentral:rRNA from 1 species